AUUGAACGCUGGCGGAAUGCUUUACACAUGCAAGUCGAACGGCAGCAUAGGUGCUUGCACCUGAUGGCGAGUGGCGAACGGGUGAGUAAUAUAUCGGAACGUGCCCAGUCGUUGGGGAUAACGUAGCGAAAGCUACGCUAAUACCGCAUACGAUCUAUGGAUGAAAGCGGGGGACCUUCGGGCCUCGCGCGAUUGGAGCGGCCGAUAUCAGAUUAGGUAGUUGGGGAGGUAAAGGCUCACCAAGCCGACGAUCUGUAGCUGGUCUGAGAGGACGACCAGCCACACUGGGACUGAGGCACGGCCCAGACUCCUACGGGAGGCAGCAGUGGGGAAUUUUGGACAAUGGACGCAAGUCUGAUCCAGCCAUUCCGCGUGCAGGACGAAGGCCUUCGGGUUGUAAACUGCUUUUGUACAGAACGAAAAGGUUUCUAUUAAUACUAGGGGCUCAUGACGGUACUGUAAGAAUAAGCACCGGCUAACUACGUGCCAGCCGCCGCGGUAA
rnacentral:rRNA from 1 species